rnacentral:pre_miRNA from 1 species
AGGGGAGUGCUGGCUUCUAGGCUGUGUACCCCAGCGCCCUGGGCCCCAGGGCCUGCGUUACUGGAAUCGUGCUCCCGGGGUCCUGCAGCCCCCU